rnacentral:rRNA from 1 species
CCUACGGGUGGCAGCAGUCGAGAAUCAUUCACAAUGGGGGAAACCCUGAUGGUGCGACGCAGCGUGGGGGAAUGAAGGUCUUCGGAUUGUAAACCUCUGUUAUGUGGGAGUAAAUUAAAAAGAUAGUACCAUAAGAGGAAGAGACGGCUAACACUGCGCCAGCAGCUGCGGUAAUACAGAGGUCUCAAGAGUUGUACGGAGUAACUGGGCGUAAAGCGUGCGUAGGCUGUUGCGUAAGUCAUGUGUGAAAGGCGCGGGCUCAACCCGCACAGGGCACAUGAUACUGGGGGACUGGAGUAAAGUAGAGGGGACCGGAAUUCUCGGUGUAGCAGUGAAAUGCGUAGAUAUCGAGAAGAACACUCAUGGCGAAGGCAGUUUCCUGGACAUUAACUGACACUGAGGCACGAAGGCCAGGGGAGCAAAAGGGAUUAGAUACCCUAGUAGUC